rnacentral:rRNA from 1 species
UACGGAGGGUGCAAGCGUUAUCCGGAUUCACUGGGUUUAAAGGGUGCGUAGGUGGGCAGGUAAGUCAGUGGUGAAAUCUCCGAGCUUAACUCGGAAACUGCCAUUGAUACUAUCUGUCUUGAAUUAUCUGGAGGUGAGCGGAAUAUGUCAUGUAGCGGUGAAAUGCUUAGAUAUGACAUAGAACACCAAUUGCGAAGGCAGCUCACUACGGAUAUAUUGACACUGAGGCACGGAAAAGCGAUGG